GAAAAAAACACAAAAUUAAUUUAUAACUUUUAAAAACUGAACCUUUUUCAAGGCCUAAUAUAAUCAGCAUUUUAAAAAAAGAUGAAAAACUAUUUUGCCCUAAUAAACUAUUUCCUUUUUUUCCUUAAUACUCAUUUCUGUCUGGAGACAUCUCGCUACAAAUACACACACAGACACAAAUAAAACCUGAGGCCUCUGGCAGAAAUUAUAAAAUACACAACUGCUACCUAAUUUCUAUUUUAAGGGCAAACAAGAACAGAUGUUAGCUAUUCAGCAGAGCAGUGAGGCAUGCAUGCGUUAAAAGCAAGCCCUCCAAGACUCAACCUGUUCCCUCCUCAACCAAAACGUAAAGCCCUGCCUGAUCAUAACAGUUCAUUUAUGAACUAUUCAAGUUACUACAGAAAACAAUUUGAAGAGAGUGAAAUUUUUGAGAAAGAAAAAGGUAUGAAAGACAGCAACUGAAGGAAAAUGCUUGUAUUAAGAAAGACAGCGCUCUAAACAUGGCAUGACAUGAGAAGUAACAGAAGUAGAUCUGAGGAUGAAGGAGAAGCUUAAUCUAGACAUGUGACAUGAAUUAAAGUCAAGGACAGCAUCAUAUAAACAAAGACAGCAAAGACCAAAUAUGGGAGACUGCAAAAAUGAUAAUAUUUUCUAACUUCUCUAACCAAAAGGUAGAGUCUAUCUCUCCAUUUAAUGAGUUUGGGCUUACUCUGUGACUUGGUUUGUGCAAGAGGACACAGCAAAAGUGAUGUGUUAUUUCUGAACCUAGUUCUCUAAAAGCCUUGCAAAUUCUACUCUGGCUCUUUAAAUCCCUGAAACCACUAUAUGAAAUAACCCAGGUGAAAUGGUUAACUUUAUGUGUCCAUCUGACUGGGCCAAGGGGUGCUUAGACAUUAGGUCAAAUGUUAUUCUAGGUUUGUCUGUUAGGGUGAUUUUGGAUGAAAUUAACAUUUGAAUUGGUAGGCUAUGAAUGGGCCUUACCCAAUCAACUGAAGUACCGGAAUAGAACAAAAAGGCUGAGUAUGAAGGAACUUCUGCUUGGCUGCACUGAGCUGGGACACUGGUGGUCUUCUCCUACUUUCAGACAAGAACUGAAACAACGGCUCUUCUUGCAUCUUGGGCUUGCUGGCAUUUGGACUGGAACUUAUCCCGUCAGUUACCCUGGCUCUCAGGCCUUUGGCUCAGACUGGAACUACAUGAUCUGUUCUCCUGGGUCUCCAGCAUGCCCACAGAAGAUCUUGAGACUUCUCACUCUCCAUAAUGAAAUUAUUACCAAAUCACCUUGGAGAAGGAGUUGAGCUCGAUAAACUGGAAGAGAAGUUGUAAGAAAAGUAUGAAGUCGAACAGCCAGAAGAAAUUUUAAGCCACAUUCAUCAAGAGUUUCUC